CUAUCAGAAUGCGAAAUCCCUGUUUUGACAAACCUCACAUCCCCUACAAGUUAAAUAACAAGCACCAUGGCCAAGGAGAAGAUCAGAAUACAUGAAAAAUAAUCCUUCCAAUUAAACAAAACACUAGAAGACAGAAAGAAGAUGGUAACACAACUGGCAAUUCCUAUGGAGGAUCCGGACAAGAUAAGAUGGAAUUAGAACUACGGGGACAUGAGCGGCUAUUACAAGAUCGUGCUUUGUGCUUUGUCUCUUUUUAAAGAGCAUGCACCAUCCAGAGCCGAGAAGAUAAACAGCAACCACCACAGAUGAUCUACUGGAAUUACUCCUGACCAGUCAACUUGGGACACACAGGCAGCUUGUCUGAGCUUCUAUGGCAGCUGUUUCAUUGGGAGCGACUUCUGACAUGUCAGAUCGGAUCGGGUGCCCUGGAAAGGAGGCCGGAGAUGAUCCUGCCAUGCAGACCCAGCCCCUUCCCCCCCAGCACAGAGGACAAGGGAGGUCACUGGGCAGUGCAUCGUAGCACUGAAGAGAAGCAUGUAUUAGGACUCUAUAGUCUACGUGGAGAAAAGCUAAUCCACUCCAGAGGAGAAAACAAUAACUUCCACCCAAUGAAGUGCCCCCUACAGGCUGGUGUUUUUUGUCUCUGUGGCUGGGUCAGCCCUGCCUCUGCUUGCACCUCAGCGGCCACAUGGGUCUGUUUACUUGUGGCCAUGUGGACAGCAGCUCACUGAGAACUUCCUUGGUAAGUGAAUGUCCAGCCCACCCCUGUCCUCCCCACUGCUAGGAAGACUGAACCCCACUUGCAAAGAUCUCAAAAGCUUUCCGCUUAGUGGAGAAA